ensembl:rRNA 5S_rRNA 5S ribosomal RNA
UCUUGCUGCCAUGUCAUCUUGGGCUGUAUGCUGAUUAGAUCUCCAGGUGAAGCAGGGCUGACUUGUUAGUACACGGAGAGAAACCUCCAAGGAAGACCAGGGUGCUGCAGGAA